CCUACGGGAGGCAGCAGUGGGGAAUUUUGGACAAUGGGGGCAACCCUGAUCCAGCCAUGCCGCGUGCGGGAAGAAGGCCUUCGGGUUGUAAACCGCUUUUAGUCGGGAAGAAAAGGCCAGGUCUAAUACACCUGGUUCUUGACGGUACCGGCGGAAUAAGCACCGGCUAACUACGUGCCAGCAGCCGCGGUAAUACGUAGGGUGCGAGCGUUAAUCGGAAUUACUGGGCGUAAAGCGUGCGCAGGCGGUUCGUUAAGUCUGAUGUGAAAGCCCCGGGCUCAACCUGGGAAUGGCAUUGGAAACUGGCGGGCUGGAGUGCGGCAGAGGGGGGUGGAAUUCCGCGUGUAGCAGUGAAAUGCGUAGAGAUGCGGAGGAACACCGAUGGCGAAGGCAGCCCCCUGGGCCGACACUGACGCUCAGGCACGAAAGCGUGGGGAGCAAACAGGAUUAGAUACCCUGGUAGUCCACGCCCUAAACGAUGUCGACUGGGUGUUGGGAGAGAGAUCUCUUGGUACCGUAGCUAACGCGUGAAGUCGACCGCCUGGGGAGUACGGCCGCAAGGUUAAAACUUAAAGGAAUUGACGG
rnacentral:rRNA from 1 species